AGUCUAAUUGCCCAUACGUACGAAGAUUAAAAUAAACUCACCACCAUGACCAGCACGUGCUUCUCGCCGAUGUUACCCUGGUCGCCGAACGUCGGGGGAGGGACGGACUGGGGCGUGGGGUUAUCCUCCGCCGCGAGCGUGAACGACGAUCCGCCGUGGGUGUUCCGCCUGGACAAACCGAGCGAGUUGGUGUUUGGGGAGGUGGACAUUGGCGCCGACGAUGAGACAUCUGACGGUGAUUGUUGGUUGAUGAGGUGCCCCGACGGUGCGUGAUUCGACAGCUGCGACGGGGACUCCGGCCCGUCGACCGGGUCGUUAUUCGACGGGAAGGAUCCCCUCCUUCCUGGACUCGAUCGCGCGUGCCCCGGGGCCCCAACCCCGGACCCGAGUCGCGCGGCCGCCGCUCGGUCGCGCUCCAACGCCGCCGCGUGCGCCGGGCUCCCGUCCUCGUCCCCAUCCUCCCCGUCCGCCGCCGCGGAUGCGACGACGACGACGCCCGGGCGGACUCGCGGGGCGGAGGACGUGCCGGCGGCCGAUGGAUGCGCGCCCGCGGGACCCACGCGCCCGAUGGGCGCGUCCAACGCGGACGACGGCGCGCCCCCACUCGCGGCGGCCGCGAGCCCGCCCCCCGGGAUCACUCCAUCGUCGCGCCCCGACGCGGCCUCGCGCACGUGGACGUCUCCCUCGCCCGCGGUGCGCACCGUGCUCAGCGCCGAGGUGAGCUCGGACUUGCCCGCGAAAUCGCGCAGGAACUCGUCCAAAUCGCGCAGGUGAUCGUCCAUGGCCACCGCCGAGCGGCGAACCUUGAGGUCGCCCCGCGACGCGGCUGCUAGUGAUUCAGAAUAACACGGAAUAACCAACCGGCUGGCGUGCGUGCCGACGAGGGAGCGAAGACCGUCUGAUGACGCGUCGCGCUUUUUUCGGCCACGUGAGCGUGUGAAAAGCCCUUGCACUCGCCACGUGCAAUAGGGGUUAAAAAAGCGUAUUU
rnacentral:lncRNA from 1 species